UCCAGACUCCUACGGGAGGCAGCAGUGGGGGAUAUUGCACAAUGGGGGAAACCCUGAUGCAGCGACGCCGCGUGAGUGAAGAAGUAUUUCGGUAUGUAAAGCUCUCUCAGCAGGGAAGAAAAAAGACGGUACCUGACUAAGAAGCCCCGGCUAACUACGUGCCAGCAGCCGCGGUAAUACGUAGGGGGCAAGCGUUAUCCGGAUUUACUGGGUGUAAAGGGAGCGUAGACGGCAAUACAAGUCGGAAGUGAAAUACCCGGGCUCAACCUGGGAACUGCUUUGGAAACUGUAUGGCUGGAGUGCUGGAGAGGUAAGCGGAAUUCCUAGUGUAGCGGUGAAAUACGUAGAUAUUAGGAGGAACACCAGUGGCGAAGGCGGCUUACUGGACAGUAACUGACGUUGAGGCUCGAAAGCGUGGGGAGCAAACAGGAUUAGAUACCCCCGUA
rnacentral:rRNA from 1 species